UACGGAAGGCAGCAGUGGGGAAUAUUGCACAAUGGGCGAAAGCCUGAUGCAGCUAUGCCGCGUGUAUGAAGAAGGCCUUAGGGUUGUAAAGUACUUUCAUCGGGGAGGAAAAACAAAACUAAUAAUUUUAUUUCUUGACGUUACCCGAAAAAGAAGCACCGGCUAACUCCGUGCCAGCAGCCGCGGUAAUACGGAGGGUGCUAGCGUUAAUCAGAAUUACUGGGCGUAAAGAGCACGUAGGUGGUUUUUUUAAAGUCAGAUGUGAAAUCCCUGGGCUUAACCUGGAACUGCAUUUUGAAACUGAAAAUCUAGAGUAUCGUAGAGGGAGGUAGAAUUCUAGGUGUAGCGGUGAAAUGCGUAGAUAUCUGGAGGAAUACCUGUGGCGAAAGCGGCCUCCUAAACGAAUACUGACACUGAGGUGCGAAAAGCGUGGGGAGCGAAAACAGGGAUUAGAUACC
rnacentral:rRNA from 1 species